rnacentral:rRNA from 1 species
GAUUGAACGCUGGCGGCGUGCUUAACACAUGCAAGUCGAUCGGUAACAGGUGUAGCAAUACAUGCUGACGAGAGGCGGACGGGUGAGUAAUGCUUGGGAAUCUGCCUAUUAGUGGGGGACAACCCGGGGAAACUCGGGCUAAUACCGCAUACGCUCUACGGGGGAAAGCCGGGGACCGCAAGGCCUGGCGCUAAUAGAUGAGCCCAAGUCGGAUUAGCUAGUUGGUAGGGUAACGGCCACCAAGGCGACAAUCCGUAGCUGGUCUGAGAGGACGACCAGCCACACCGGAACUGAGACACGGUCCGGACUCCUACGGGAGGCAGCAGGUGGGGAAUAUUGGACAAGUGGGGGCAACCCUGAUCCAGCGACGCCGCGUGGGUGAAGAAGGCCUGGCGGG